GGAGUGGCAGACGGGUGAGUAACGCGUGGGAACGUACCCUUUCCUGCGGAAUAGCUCCGGGAAACUGGAAUUAAUACCGUAUACGCCCUACGGGGGAAAGAUUUAUCGGUAAAGGAUCGGCCCGCGUUGGAUUAGCUAGUUGGUGGGGUAAAGGCCUACCAAGGCGACGAUCCAUAGCUGGUCUGAGAGGAUGAUCAGCCACAUUGGGACUGAGACACGGCCCAAACUCCUACGGGAGGCAGCAGUGGGGAAUAUUGGACAAUGGGCGCAAGCCUGAUCCAGCCAUGCCGCGUGAGUGAUGAAGGCCUUAGGGUUGUAAAGCUCUUUCACCGGAGAAGAUAAUGACGGUAUCCGGAGAAGAAGCCCCGGCUAACUUCGUGCCAGCAGCCGCGGUAAGUUCUGGGGGGCUAGCGUUGUUCGGAAUUACUGGGCGUAAAGCGCACGUAGGCUGACAUUUAAGUCAGGGGUGAAAUCCGAGAGCUCAA
rnacentral:rRNA from 1 species